GACCGAUGCACGAUUUCCGUCCUCUCGUCGCGGGUUUCGGCUCGCGUGCGGGGCUAAAGGUCGGCGCGCUCCGCUUUAGUGACUCUGGAUAACUCACUGGUCGAUCGCACGGGCUUCCACGCCCGGCGACGGGUCCCCCGAGG
rnacentral:rRNA from 1 species